GGAAUGGUAUCUCAUUGGUUAGAGUGCCCGCCUCAUGAACGGGAGGUCGUGGGUUCGAACCCCGGCCGAGUCA
rfam:Strongylocentrotus purpuratus Contig40238_fixed, whole genome shotgun sequence.